rnacentral:rRNA from 1 species
GACGAACGCUGGCGGCGUGCUUAACACAUGCAAGUCGAACGGAAAGGCCCUGCUUUUGUGGGGUGCUCGAGUGGCGAACGGGUGAGUAACACGUGAGUAACCUGCCCUUGACUUUGGGAUAACUUCAGGAAACUGGGGCUAAUACCGGAUAGGAGCUCCUGCUGCAUGGUGGGGGUUGGAAAGUUUCGGCGGUUGGGGAUGGACUCGCGGCUUAUCAGCUUGUUGGUGGGGUAGUGGCUUACCAAGGCUUUGACGGGUAGCCGGCCUGAGAGGGUGACCGGCCACAAUGGGACUGAGAUACGGCCCAGACUCCUACGAGAGGCAGCAGUGGGGAAUAUUGCACAAUGGGCGGAAGCCUGAUGCAGCAACGCCGCGUGCGGGAUGACGGCCUUCGGGUUGUAAACCGCUUUCGCCUGUGACGAAGCGUGAGUGACGGUAAUGGGUAAAGAAGCACCGGCUAACUACGUG